CACGUAGGCGGUUUCGUAAGUCGGAUGUGAAAGCCCUAGGCUUAACCAAGGAAGUGCAUUCGAAACUGUGAGACUUGAGUACGGGAGAGGGCUGUGGAAUUCCCGGUGUAGAGGUGAAAUUCGUAGAUAUCGGGAGGAACACCAGAGGCGAAGGCGACAGCCUGGACCGAUACUGACGCUGAGGUGCGAAAGCGUGGGGAGCAAACA
rnacentral:rRNA from 1 species